AGUCGAGUGCGCGUCUGUAGCAAUACAGAUGGCGCACGGCGCACGGGUGCGUAACACGUGGGCAAUCUGCCCUUCGAUGGGGAAUAUCUUCGGGAAACCGAAGCGAAUUCCGCAUAACAUUCCUUGGACUUCGGUUCGAGGACUCAAAGCCGUAAGGCGUCGAAGGAGGAGCCCGCGCACGAUUAGCUAGUUGGUAGGGUAACGGCCUACCAAGGCUUUGAUCGUUAGCUGGUCUGAGAGGAUGGCCAGCCACACUGGAACUGAGACACGGUCCAGACUCCUACGGGAGGCAGCAGUGGGGAAUCUUGCACAAUGGGCGAAAGCCUGAUGCAGCGACGCCGCGUGGGGGAUGAAGCAUCUCGGUGUGUAAACCCCUUUCGACCCGGAAGAAUGCCUCGCAAGAGGACUGACGGUACGGGUAUAAGAAGCCCCGGCUAACUACGUGCCAGCAGCCGCGGUAAGACGUAGGGGGCCAGCGUUGUUCGGAAUUACUGGGUGUAAAGGGUUCGUAGGCGGUGCGGCAAGUUGGGAGUGAAAUCUCUGGGCUCAACCCAGAGGCCGCUUCCAAAACUGCUGUGCUUGAGUGUGGGAGAGGCGCGUGGAAUUGCAGGUGUAGCGGUGAAAUGCGUAGAUAUCUGCAGGAACACCCGUGGCGAAAGCGGCGCGCUGGACCACUACUGACGCUGAGGAACGAAAGCUAG
rnacentral:rRNA from 1 species